rnacentral:rRNA from 1 species
UAAGGAAUAUUGGUCAAUGGACGCAAGUCUGAACCAGCCAUGCCGCGUGAAGGAUGAAGGUCCUCUGGAUUGUAAACUUCUUUUAUCUGGGACGAAAACGGGAUUUUUAUCUCAAUUGACGGUACCAGAGGAAUAAGCACCGGCUAACUCCGUGCCAGCAGCCGCGGUAAUACGGAGGGUGCGAGCGUUAUCCGGAUCUACUGGGUUUAAAGGGUGCGUAGGUGGGCUUAUAAGUCAGUGGUGAAAUCUCCGAGCUUAACUUGGAAACUGCCGUUGNUACUAUAGGUCUUGAAUUAUCUGGAGGUAAGCGGAAUAUGUCAUGUAGCGGUGAAAUGCUUAGAUAUGACAUAGAACACCAAUUGCGAAGGCAGCUUACUACAUAUAAAUUGACGCUGAGGCACGAAAGCGUGGGGAUCAAACA